CAAGGUUUUAAAUUAAGGUUGCGGUCGUGGAUGCGGUUGCGGUUGCAGGUAUUGCGAUUGCGGCUAAUGCUGACACUGCGAUGCAAUUGCGGCCGUUGCGGCGUGAAAUAAUUUUUUAUCCGCACAAACAUAGAAAAAAUACUAUAAUUAUUGUAAUUCCUUAUAUAUCUUUUACUUAUAAUUUUAUAUAAAUUUUAAUUCAUUUUUAAGUCAUCGAGACAUAAGAAGACAGAAACUCUAAAAUGAAAGGACAUAAAGGAAAAAAUAAAGGUGAGAUUCUCUGAAUUUUUAUGAAAAGGAAUAUUGGAUUGAACC
rnacentral:lncRNA from 1 species